rnacentral:tRNA from 1 species
GCGAUAGUAGCUCAGUUGGUAGAGCAUCGGCUUCCCAAGCCGAGGGUCGCGGGUUCGAACCCCGUCUAUCGCU